GGGGAAUCUUGCGCAAUGGCCUAACGGCUGACGCAGCGACGUCGCGUGAGGGAUGAAGCUUUUCGGAGUGUAAACCUCCGUUGCCCGGGACGAAUAGCGGAUUAUUCCGACUUGACGGUACCGGGUGAGGAAGCACCGGCUAACUCCGUGCCAGCAGCCGCGGUAAUACGGGGGGUGCGAGCGUUGUCCGGAAUCACUGGGCGUAAAGGGCGCGUAGGUGGUCUUGUAAGUCUGUGGUGAAAGCCCGGGGCUCAACCCCGGGUCUGCCGUGGAUACUGUGAGACUUGAGUACUGUAGAGGCAGGUAGAAUAUCGGGUGUAGCGGUGGAAUGCGUAGAGAUCCGAUAGAAGACCGGUGGCGAAGGCGGCCUGCUGGGCAGUAACUGACACUGAGGCGCGACAGCGUGGGGAGCAAAC
rnacentral:rRNA from 1 species